rnacentral:rRNA from 1 species
GAUGAACGCUGGCGGCGUGCCUAAUACAUGCAAGUCGAGCGAACAGACGAGGAGCUUGCUCCUCUGACGUUAGCGGCGGACGGGUGAGUAACACGUGGAUAACCUACCUAUAAGACUGGGAUAACUUCGGGAAACCGGAGCUAAUACCGGAUAAUAUAUUGAACCGCAGGGUUCAAUAGUGAAAGACGGUUUUGCGGUCACUUAUAGAUGGAUCCGCGCCGCAUUAGCUAGUUGGUAAGGUAACGGCUUACCAAGGCAACGAUGCGUAGCCGACCUGAGAGGGUGAUCGGCCACCCUGGAGGGGAGACGCGGUCCAGACUCCUACGGGAGGCAGCAGUAGGGAAUCUGCCGCAAUGGGCGAAAGCUUGACGGAGCAACGCCGCGUGAGUGAUGAAGGUCUUCGGAUCGUAAAGCUCUGUUAUUAGGGAAGAACAAAUGUGUAAGUAACUAUGCACGUCUUGACGGUACCUAAUCAGAAAGCCACGGCUAACUACGUG